GGGCACGCAAGGGAGCACUCUCCCCUGAGCACUCUCUGCCCAUCUCCCUCUCGCACCGCAUAUGACGUCAUUGUGGCUUUGACAUCAGUACGCGGCGCGCGAGGGAGCUGGGCAGAGAGCGCUCAGGGGAGAGUGCUCCCUCGCGCGU